CUGGUGGCAAUAGCAUUGUGGCACCACCUGAAUCCAUUCCGAACUCAGCAGUGAAACGCAAUAGCGCCGAUGGUAGUGUGGGGUUUCCCCAUGUGAGAGUAGGACACCGCCAGG
rnacentral:rRNA from 1 species